UUAAAGUGUUGGAAAUGGAAUGAUGGGAAUUUAAACCUCUUCCAGAGUAUCAAUUGGAGGGCAAGUCUGGUGCCAGCAGCCGCGGUAAUUCCAGCUCCAAUAGCGUAUAUUAAAAUUGUUGCAGUUAAAAAGCUCGUAGUUGAAUUUCUGCUGCAUUACAUUUUUCUUUUUGAGUUUGUUUUUGUGGCUUAUUUCGGUUUGAUUUUUUCUUUCCGGAUGAUUACUUUGAGAAAAUUAGAGUGCUCAAAGCAGGCUUUUGCCUUGAAUAGUUUAGCAUGGAAUAAUAAAGUAGGACUUUGGUUCUAUUUUGUUGGUUUUAGGUACCAAAGUAAUGGGUAAUAGGAACAGUUGGGGGCAUUCCGAAUUUA
rnacentral:rRNA from 1 species